rnacentral:rRNA from 1 species
UACGAAGGGGGCUAGCGUUGCUCGGAAUCACUGGGCGUAAAGCGCACGUAGGCGGCUUUCUAAGUCAGGGGUGAAAUCCUGGAGCUCAACUCCAGAACUGCCUUUGAUACUGGCAAUCUCGAGUCCGGGAGAGGUGAGUGGAACUGCGAGUGUAGAGGUGAAAUUCGUAGAUAUUCGCAAGAACACCAGUGGCGAAGGCGGCUCACUGGCCCGGGUACUGACGCUGAGGUGCGAAAGCGUGGGGAGC